rnacentral:rRNA from 1 species
UACAGAGGGGGCAAGCGUUAUUCGGAAUUAUUGGGCGUAAAGGGCGCGUAGGCGGCUUUGCAAGUGACGGGUGAAAUCCCUCGGCUUAACCGAGGAACUGCCUGUCAAACUGCAUGGCUUGAGACCGGGAGAGGUGAGUGGAAUUCCCAGUGUAGCGGUGAAAUGCGUAGAUAUUGGGAGGAACACCAGUGGCGAAGGCGGCUCGCUGGACCGGUUCUGACGCUGAGGCGCGAAAGCGUGGGGAGCAAACAGG